AACGAAGGCUGGCGGCAUGCCUAACACAUGCAAGUCGAACGAGACCUUCGGGUCUAGUGGCGCACGGGUGCGUAACGCGUGGGAACCUGCCCUUAGGUUCGGAAUAACUCCCCGAAAGGGGUGCUAAUACCGGAUAAUGUCUUCGGACCAAAGAUUUAUCGCCUUUGGAUGGGCCCGCGUUGGAUUAGCUAGUUGGUAGGGUAAAAGCCUACCAAGGCGACGAUCCAUAGCUGGUCUGAGAGGAUGAUCAGCCACACUGGGACUGAGACACGGCCCAGACUCCUACGGGAGGCAGCAGUGGGGAAUAUUGGACAAUGGGCGAAAGCCUGAUCCAGCAAUGCCGCGUGAGUGAUGAAGGCCUUAGGGUUGUAAAGCUCUUUUACCCGGGAUGAUAAUGACAGUACCGGGAGAAUAAGCGCCGGCUAACUCCGUG
rnacentral:rRNA from 1 species